UCGGGAAUUUUGGGCAAUGGGCGAAAGCCUGACCCAGCAACGCCGCGUGAAGGAUGAAGUAUUUCGGUAUGUAAACUUCGAAAGAAUAGGAAGAAUAAAUGACGGUACUAUUUAUAAGGUCCGGCUAACUACGUGCCAGCAGCCGCGGUAAUACGUAGGGACCAAGCGUUGUUCGGAUUUACUGGGCGUAAAGGGCGCGUAGGCGGCAAUUCAAGUCAUCUGUGAAAUCUCCGGGCUUAACUCGGAACGGUCAGAUGAUACUGCUUUGCUAGAGUGCAGAAGGGGCAAUCGGAAUUCUUGGUGUAGCGGUGAAAUGCGUAGAUAUCAAGAGGAACACCUGAGGUGAAGACGGGUUGCUGGGCUGACACUGACGCUGAGGCGCGAAAGCCAGGGGAGCAAACGGGGAUUAGAUACCCAAGUAGUCCCUGAG
rnacentral:rRNA from 1 species